rnacentral:rRNA from 1 species
GCUCACCUACGGGGGGCAGCAGUGGGGAAUAUUGCACAAUGGGGGAAACCCUGAUGCAGCGACGCCGCGUGAAGGAUGAAGUAUUUCGGUAUGUAAACUUCUAUCAGCAGGGAAGAAAAUGACGGUACCUGACUAAGAAGCCCCGGCUAACUACGUGCCAGCAGCCGCGGUAAUACGUAGGGGGCAAGCGUUAUCCGGAUUUACUGGGUGUAAAGGGAGCGCAGACGGCAGUGCAAGUCUGGAGUGAAAGCCCGGGGCCCAACCCCGGAACUGCUCUGGAAACUGUGCGGCUAGAGUACUGGAGG